rnacentral:rRNA from 1 species
GACGAACGCUGGCGGCGUGCCUAAUACAUGCAAGUUGAGCGAUGAAGAUUGGUGCUUGCACCAAUUUGAAGAGCAGCGAACGGGUGAGUAACGCGUGGGGAAUCUGCCUUUGAGCGGGGGACAACAUUUGGAAACGAAUGCUAAUACCGCAUAACAACUUUAAACAUAAGUUUUAAGUUUGAAAGAUGCAAUUGCAUCACUCAAAGAUGAUCCCGCGUUGUAUUAGCUAGUUGGUGAGGUAAAGGCUCACCAAGGCGAUGAUACAUAGCCGACCUGAGAGGGUGAUCGGCCACAUUGGGACUGGGACACGGCCCAAACUCCUACGGGAGGCAGCAGUAGGGGAUCUUCGGCAAUGGACGAAAGUCUGACCGAGCAACGCCGCGUGAGUGAAGAAGGUUUUCGGAUCGUAAAACUCUGUUGGUAGAGAAGAACGUUGGUGAGAGUGGAAAGCUCAUCAAGUGACGGUAACUACCCAGAAAGGGACGGCUAACUACGUG